AGAGUUUGAUCCUGGCUCAGAACAAACGCUGGCGGCGUGCAUAACACAUGCAAGUCUAACGGGAAUGUCGGCUUCGGCUGGCUAGUACCGUGGCGAACGGGUGAGUAACACGUGGGUAAUCUAACCUCGAGUUUGGGAUAACCUUGCGAAAGCGGGGCUAAUACCGAAUAAGACCACGCUCUGUUUGCAGGGUGCGGUAAAAGGCGGCCUCUUCAUGAAAGCUGUCACUUGAGGAUGAGCCCGCGGCCUAUUAGCUAGUUGGUGGGGUAAUGGCCUACCAAGGCGACGAUGGGUAGCCGGCCUGAGAGGGUGUACGGCCACACUGGCACUGAGAUACGGGCCAGACUCCUACGGGAGGCAGCAGUGGGGAAUUUUGCGCAAUGGGGGAAACCCUGACGCAGCAACGCCGCGUGAGUGAUGAAGGCCUUCGGGUCGUAAAGCUCUUUUAGUGGGGAAGAAUCCCACCCGGGCUAAUACCUCGGGUGUCUGACGGUACCCACAGAAAAAGUUCCGGCUAACUACGUGCCAGCAGCCGCGGUAAUACGUAGGGAGCAAGCGUUGUUCGGAAUUAUUGGGCGUAAAGAGCGCGUAGGCGGUUCGGUAAGUCUGAUGUGAAAUCCCAGAGCUCAACUCUGGAACUGCAUUGGAUACUGCCGAGCUUGAGUGUGGGAGAGGAGAGUGGAAUUCCCAGUGUAGAGGUGAAAUUCGUAGAUAUUGGGAGGAACACCCGUGGCGAAGGCGGCUCUCUGGACCACAACUGACGCUGAGGCGCGAAAGCUAGGGUAGCAAACGGGAUUAGAUACCCCGGUAGUCCUAGCCGUAAACGAUGGGCACUAGGUGUUGGAGGUAUCGACCCCUCCAGUGCCGCAGCUAACGCAUUAAGUGCCCCGCCUGGGGAGUACGGUCGCAAGACUAAAACUUAAAGGAAUUGACGG
rnacentral:rRNA from 1 species